rnacentral:tRNA from 2 species
AGGGGAGUAGCUCAAUUGGCAGAGCAACCGUCUCCAAAAUGGUAGGUUGCAGGUUCAAGUCCUGUCUCCCCUG